UCCAAAUUCUAAAUUCUGAUUCCGAAUUCCCAAUGAACUUGUCUCGCUCUCUCUCUCUCUCUCUCUCUCUCAAAUGGUCAAACCUAAUUCCACCUCCUCCAUUUUCCUCCCAAUACGGCCAACGAAUAUGGGGCAACCACCUUCAUCUUUGAGAUACAAAGGAAUUCCAGAAGAAUAGACAGAUUGAUUGCUAAUUGGUUUCGACGCCUGAAGCUAGGGUUUUAACACGAGGAAGAUAGACCUCCUCCAUUUUUAUUCUCAGCAGUUGAAAUCGAUUCCCAAUUGCAGUGCUUCUCCAUGUAAUUUUGAUCAUCGGUGAACUAAUUGUAGCUUUGAGAGAACUUACCUAACAAUUUUGCUAGCUAUUCUGGUUCAAAAGCAAGAGUCCAGCCCAUAUUGCAGAUGGAAAUGAAAUCGCCUGAGAAACUCAAUACAGUCGUUGUCUUGAAACAGCCAGAUAGCAGCCGUUGGCAGAAGAUUAAUACAUGCAAUGGCUUCUAGUUGGCUAUUUCCCAAAUAAGCUUAUAAACCCAAGAUGCGGACUGAAGACUGGACUGGCUGGUUGGUUACCCCAUCUCCAACGAUGCAGUUAUUACUAAACUCUGGGAAUCAUUUGCAUCUGUGUCACUGGAAAAUGUUGGCUGUUGCAUUGCAAUGUUCGGUGAACUAGCAGAAUUCAUGUGCGUUCCGGUCGGUAAGCCACCAAGUGAAGUCUGUGGAGGAUUGUUAGAUGAUGAUGCUUUUGGAGACUGGAAAGGAGAAGGAUUGAGUUGCGGUUGUAGUAAGGUACUCAAGGAACACUUGGAGAUGGCAUCUGAACACCAUUUCCUCCAUAAGGACAGUUUGCACUACUCUUCGGGUUUUUGCUGUCUCGAGUUCAUUGAGUUUUGAUGACGCAGCCCACAUAUAUAUGGCACUAGUAAAGGAAGUUGCAGGAGCCGAAUUCAGUGGAUUAUUUACAUUUGCCAUGCCAUUUCUGGAAGGAAGUUGCAAUUAUU